rnacentral:rRNA from 1 species
GACGAACGCUGGCGGCGUGCCUAAUACAUGCAAGUAGAACGCAGUUGCGAACGGGUGAGUAACGUGUAGGUAACUCCCUCAUAGGGGGGGAAAAUUAUUGGAAACGAAAGUUAAUACCGCUUACUUUGAGAUGUACCUGUGUUGUAUUAGUUAGUUGGUGAGGGACAGGCUCACCAAGGCGAAGAUACAUAGCCGACCUUAGAGGGUGAUCGGCCACACUGGGACUGGGACAAGGCCCAGAACUCUACGGGGGGCAGGAGUAGGGAAUCUUCGGAAAAGGGCGGAAAGCUGACCGAGCAACGGCGCGUGAGAGAAGGAGGUUGUCGGGUCUUAAAGGUCUGUUGUGAGAGAAGCGGUAACUAACCAGAAAGGGACGGCUAACUACGUGCCAGCAGCCGCGGUAAUUC